rnacentral:rRNA from 1 species
GAGUUUGAUCCUGGCUCAGAUUGAACGCUGGCGGCAUGCUUUACACAUGCAAGUCGAACGGCAGCGCGGGCUUCGGCCUGGCGGCGAGUGGCGAACGGGUGAGUAAUAUAUCGGAACGUACCCAGGGGUGGGGGAUAACGUAGCGAAAGUUACGCUAAUACCGCAUACGCUCUAUGGAGGAAAGCAGGGGACCGCAAGGCCUUGCGCGCUUGGAGCGGCCGAUAUCUGAUUAGCUAGUUGGUGGGGUAAAGGCUCACCAAGGCAACGAUCAGUAGCUGGUCUGAGAGGACGACCAGCCACACUGGGACUGAGACACGGCCCAGACUCCUACGGGAGGCAGCAGUGGGGAAUUUUGGACAAUGGGGGCAACCCUGAUCCAGCAAUGCCGCGUGAGUGAAGAAGGCCU